UGCCGGUCCUGUGGGUGUGUGCGGACGUUUAGCGUGAGCGCAGCACGUGUGGUCGCAAUUGUUUGUCGCGAGCCCAGCGUGAAGCUGUGUCUGUGUGCGAGUGUGUGCGACGGUGUCGGCGUCACCGUGGAUGCACGCUGUUUCUGCUUUAUUUUAAUGAAUUAAAGACGAAGGGAGAACAUGCAAACUGUGAAGACCCAAGUCAAGCUAGAAUUCAAACUGCUCCACCAUGCCGCCCCAACCCUAGAUAAAUUAGGAUGAAUCCUAUUAUUCGACUUUGUGUUCACUCCAAUAAGG